GUGCUCCCUUCGGGAACAUAUAUACUAAAACUGGAAUGAUACAGAGAAGAUUAGCAUAGCCCAUGCACAAGGAGGACAUGCAAAUUCCUGAAGCAUUCCUUAUUUUU
ensembl:snRNA U6 U6 spliceosomal RNA